GACGUAGGGGACGAGCGUUGUCCGGAUUCAUUGGGCGUAAAGGGCGCGUAGGCGGCGCAACAAGUCACUUGUGAAAUCUCCGGGCUUAACUCGGAACGGUCAAGUGAUACUGUUGUGCUAGAGUGCGGAAGGGGCAACUGGAAUUCUCGGUGUAGCGGUGAAAUGCGUAGAUAUCGAGAGGAACACCAGAGGUGAAGACGGGUUGCUGGGCUGACACUGACGCUGAGGCGCGAAAGCCAGGGGAGCAAACGGG
rnacentral:rRNA from 1 species